rnacentral:rRNA from 1 species
GAUGAACGCUGGCGGCGUGCUUAACACAUGCAAGUCGAACGAUGAAGCCCAGCUUGCUGGGUGGAUUAGUGGCGAACGGGUGAGUAACACGUGAGUAACCUGCCCUUAACUCUGGGAUAAGCCUGGGAAACUGGGUCUAAUACCGGAUAGGAGCGUCCACCGCAUGGUGGGUGUUGGAAAGAUUUAUCGGUUUUGGAUGGACUCGCGGCCUAUCAGCUUGUUGGUGGGGUAAUGGCUCACCAAGGCGACGACGGGUAGCCGGCCCGAGAGGGUGACCGGCCACAAUGGGACUGAGACGCGGCCCAGACUCCGACGGGAGGCAGCAGUGGGGAAAAUUGCACAAUGGGCGCAAGCCGGAUGCAGCGACGCCGCGUGAGGGAUGACGGCCUUCGGGUUGUAAACCUCUUUCAGUAGGGAAGAAGCGAAAGUGACGGUACCUGCAGAAGAAGCACCGGCUAACUACGUG